GGCCAGUUUGACUCGUUUUUAUAGUUUACACACUUUUGUAUUACCCCUUCUUACUGCUGUAUUUAUGUUAAUGCAUUUUUCAAUGAUACGUAAGCAAGGUAUUUCGGGCCCUUUAUAG
rnacentral:tRNA from 1 species